rnacentral:rRNA from 1 species
UAGGGAAUCUUCGGCAAUGGACGAAAGUCUGACCGAGCAACGCCGCGUGAGUGAAGAAGGUUUUCGGAUCGUAAAACUCUGUUGUUAGAGAAGAACAAGGACGUUAGUAACUGAACGUCCCCUGACGGUAUCUAACCAGAAAGCCACGGCUAACUACGUGCCAGCAGCCGCGGUAAUACGUAGGUGGCAAGCGUUGUCCGGAUUUAUUGGGCGUAAAGCGAGCGCAGGCGGUUUCUUAAGUCUGAUGUGAAAGCCCCCGGCUCAACCGGGGAGGGUCAUUGGAAACUGGGAGAAUUGAGUGCAGAAGAGGAGAGUGGAAUUCCAUGUGUAACGGUGAAAUGCGUAGAUAUAUGGAGGAACACCAGUGGCGAAGGCGGCUCUCUGGUCUGUAACUGACGCUGAGGCUCGAAAGCGUGGGGGGCAAACAGG